rnacentral:rRNA from 1 species
AUGUCAGUUUCAGAUACAAACCUUCAUAAUGGAGAAAAGCCCAUCUCUGAAACUACCGAUGCGGAACUCGCCGAAAAGCAUGGUCAUAUGAAGUUAGUAUGCUCACAGACAAGGUUCGGAAAAACCAUGAAACUGUUGUCACAAGACCACAAAAAGUACAUCAUAUCAGAAACCAGUCUUGGCGGUCUAACCCAGAUGCAUGAAGUGACUCUACGGCGCAUAAUGUUGGUUAGACUAGCCAAGAGCAUAGAUAUGGACACGAAAUCCAUUACCAUCGGUAAAACGCCAAUUCAUAUAACAAAAGAGGACGUGCAAGGUAUAUUUGGCAUUCCGAUAGAAGGGGAGGAUAUAGAGCCACAUCUGGAAAAUCAAACCGACACAGAAUUGUUUACCGCCUAUGCAAACAAUGGGCAAAUUUUGAUUUCUGACCUUGAAACGGCGAUCCGAGCUUCCAAAGCCCUAGACGGCGAUUUCCUGAGACGGUUCAUUCUGUACGCAAUUGGUACUGUUCUAGCACCAACAGCACAACAUUAUGUGGACUCGAAAUUUCUCAACCUUGUUCCAGAUCUUGAAAACCUUCAGAAAUUUAACUGGGCAUGUUUCACACUUAAUCACUUCUUCAAGUCUGUUCACAAGUUUAGAAAUCGAGAUCACGUAAAUCUACAAGGAAAUCUAAUUCUGCUCUAG